CCCCCUCACUGGCAACACGUCAGCUGGACGGACCGGCAUUACGUCACUUCCGGAAGUGAGGGACGUCUCGACCGGGAUCCGGGCGGCGUGGACUCCACGAGUGGGAGGAGUGCCUCCUGAAGUUAAGUAACCAUGGCGAUCUCCCCCUCACUGGCAACACGUCAGCUGGACGGACCGGCAUUACGUCACUUCCGGAAGUGAGGGACGUCUCGACCGGGAUCCGGGCGGCGUGGACUCCACGAGUGGGAGGAGUGCCUCCUGAAGUUAAAGUGUUUAAACACUUUAUUUGCUUAUGUACACUAAUCCUGACGACGGGGCUGCGACCCCGAAACGUUGAUGUCUUUAUGAUAAUAAAUUCACUGCACGCUUUCACCU